GUGAGGAAUAUUGGUCAAUGGGCGGGAGCCUGAACCAGCCAAGUCGCGUGAAGGAAGAAGGAUCUAUGGUUCGUAAACUUCUUUUGCAGGGGAAUAAAGUGCGGGACGUGUCCUGUUUUGUAUGUACCCUGAGAAUAAGGAUCGGCUAACUCCGUGCCAGCAGCCGCGGUAAUACGGAGGAUCCGAGCGUUAUCCGGAUUUAUUGGGUUUAAAGGGUGCGUAGGUGGUUUGAUAAGUCAGCGGUGAAAGUUUGCAGCUUAACUGUAAAAAUGCCGUUGAAACUGUCGGACUUGAGUGUAAAUGAGGUAGGCGGAAUGCGUGGUGUAGCGGUGAAAUGCAUAGAUAUCACGCAGAACUCCGAUUGCGAAGGCAGCUUACUAAGCUACAACUGACACUGAUGCACGAAAGCGUGGGUAUCAAACAGGAUUAGAUACCCGAGUAGUCC
rnacentral:rRNA from 1 species